GCAGCACGGGCCUGGGACAUUCCUCCCUCUAGUGGUAGGCAAAGCUCCUUCGGGGGCACUUUCUUGCUUCAUCUGAAACUGUGCAAAGAGUGAUCAAAACAGGAAGAGGCCUAUCAGUUGUCUGUGUAAGAACCAACCAAAAGUUCAAGACUCCUUCCCGCUCCAAGCUGCCGGUGGUAGUUCAUAGAAUGGCAAAGGCCCUGUGUGACUCUCUCGGCAGCCUCUCCCCCAGCUUGCCCAUCGGCUCUCUGUCACACUGCAGCAGUGGCUUUAGCUAGUUGGGAAACCCCGAGAUCAAUAUUAACUGCUCAGUGAGCAACCACAGUCUGUGAAAACUGCAGUAAGAUGAAUGCAGAAAAUGUGCGAUGACAAGGCCGCAGAGACAGAGUGAAGGGAACAAGCUCCUUGGGGGUGCGGAUCACAUAUCUGGAUUUUUCAUGUUCAUUGAACAGGAAAUUGCUCUGUGUCCAUUCCAAGUAUUUCUAGAAAGCAGUUGCUGUCCACAUGAAGAGAAGACCUUGCUUUGUUUUCUUUAGAAUUUUUCCAGGAGUUGUUCACUGUUUUAGGAAAUCGUGUUAGCAAUGUCAACAUCACUCAUGGAAUUCGAGCUCCCAGUACUGUACACCUGGAUGAGCCUGCCCUGGUGGCUGCCACAUUCACUGCCGUUCCAGGGUCUCACUGUCACC